CAGCAGCCGCGGUAAUACGUAGGUGGCAAGCGUUAUCCGGAAUUAUUGGGCGUAAAGCGCGCGUAGGCGGUUUCUUAAGUCUGAUGUGAAAGCCCACGGCUCAACCGUGGAGGGUCAUUGGAAACUGGGAAACUUGAGUGCAGAAGAGGAAAGUGGAAUUCCAUGUGUAGCGGUGAAAUGCGCAGAGAUAUGGAGGAACACCAGUGGCGAAGGCGACUUUCUGGUCUGUAACUGACGCUGAUGUGCGAAAGCGUGGGGAUCAAACAGGAUUAGAUACCCCAGUAGUCCCUGUCUCUUAUAC
rnacentral:rRNA from 1 species